UCCAUUCCUGCCUUUGAGCUUGGAGAACACUCAACCACACGGACCCACUGAGGACACACGUGUGCAGCGUGAGCAUUGCCAUCAGUGCUGCGUGACAGUCACCUCUUCUCCAGACCCUGCUUGGAGUCCCUGACCCGUCUCACCAUCACGUGAUCUCAAGUUUAUUGAAGGAAAUCAGAUGCAGCAGCAAACAUGCUUCUCAGGCUCAGAAACAAAACCCUCGCCACUGAGCUGAUGAGUGUCUCUGUGCUUCUGAACAGUGUGGACAAGGUUAAUGAAUGAGGCCCAGGCAGGCCUGUGGGCUCCUUCAAUCGGGGCAUCGAAAGCCUGGGAAGUUUUAACAGAGGCUGUU
rnacentral:lncRNA from 1 species